ensembl:lncRNA
AUGAACUCUUUGUACCCUCAGUUUAAGGUACUUUUUGUUUUGUUUGUCUUGGUCCGCUCCCGCGGCAUAUGGAGGUUCCCAGGCUAGGGGUCAAAUUGGAGCUAUAGCCGUAGGCCUAUGCCAGAGCCACAGCAACGUGGGAUCCGAGCCGUGUCUGUAACCUACACCACAGCUCACGGCAACGCCGGAUCGUUAACCCACUGAGCAAGGGCAGGGAUCGAACCCGCAACCUCGUGGUUCCUAGUCGGAUUCGUUAACCACUGUGCCUCGACAGGAACUCCUAAGGUACUUUUUUGACUUUUAAAUUUCUGAUUAGUCUCUCAGUUAUCCUAUGCAAAAAGCUAAUUGUGGACAUAGACAUAUAUACAUUUGAGUUUUGUCUUUAAUCCUGUAUGCCUUUUAAAAUUUAUAACAUGGCUAUCUUACAGAAAGCAAUACUUUCAGUCUCUGUAGUAAAUAAGAGAAGUCUUUCUUUAAUUCUUUAUUUGCCCAUUAAAUCAUUAAAUUCUAUUGCUAGAUUAUUGUAUUAGAUAUUGUAUGGGAAAACAAAACAAGUACAUACUUAAAAUUUUCUGGUGCAGUGCAAGUGCUAACAAACACAUAAAUAGCUAAGAGAACACUUAAGGCAGUAUGUGAUGUAGGACCAAAUAAAUAGUCUUUAUAUAGUAAAAGUAAACGAUGAUUGGAGUUCAGAGAAGGGGGAGAACCUACAAAGGGACUAGAGAACCUGAAAGUCUCCAGGAAGAAGGUAACAGAAGUUGAACCUGAAGGUGUUUUGGAGUUUGAUCAUAGGAGCAGAGCAUUCUUAGAGGGAAGAACAUGUGAAGAUUCAUUUUACAGGUGAAAAAAAUAGAGGCCCAGAAAGGUACUGGGUGUCAAAUGAGGUACUACUUCCCUGACCACUGCUUUUUCUCUUUGUUCAGCGUUUGAGAGGUUUCUGUUGUUACCAAGUAAAAGAACUCAUAAAGCUCUUAUGAAAUCUCAUGACUUUAAAUACUGUGCUGACAACUGCCAGAUUUAUAUCUCCAGCCCAGAUCCUUUCCCAGAACUCUUGAUUGGUUUGUUCACUUGCCUACAUGACAUCUCCAUUUGUAAUAGAUAUCUCAAACUGGAAAAUGUCUAAAUCUGAACUGAUCUUCCUCUUCAAACCAUGUUGUCCUUCAAUCGUCCCUGGCCUUUAACCAAUGGAGUUAUCCCCGACUUUUUUUUGUGAGUGCACUGAUGCACAUUUAACAUAAAAUUUACAAUUUUUUUUUUUUUUUUUGGUCGUCACAUCUGUGGCAUGCAGAAACUCCCAGGCACAGCAGCAACUCAAGCAGCUGCAGUGAUAAUGCCAGAUCCUGAACUGCUAGGCCACCAGGAAACCCUUCAAAUUAAAAAUUUUUUUUUAAGUCCACUUUAUUUUUUUCUUUUGUUACCUAGCCUUUAACUAAAAACCUUGGAAUUAUCCUUUACUUUUUUUUCUUUUCAUUACCCACACCAAAUCAGGAGAUUAUGUUUGCUUCACCCUGAGAAUAUAUAAGAAAUGAAUAACAUCUUAACUUCUCUCAUUCUGGUCCAAACCACCAACACCUUGGAACUAGCUUAUUGGAGUUGGAUUCUAAUAGUUUUGCCUGCUUCCAUUCCCGCCCCUUCCUCUAUUUUGAACAUAGUAGCCAGAGUGAUUCAGUUUAGGCAGGUCUUCUAAAUUCUCUGCUUAGAAUCCUAUUAAUGAUUCUCAUUUUACUCAAAAUAAUACCAAAGUUUUAAAAAUGGCUUUAAAACUUUCUGUGAUAUCCCCCUAACUUAGGCCCCUUGACCUCUGAACUCAUAUCCUACCUACUACUUUCCCAGCUCCAGCCACACAGAUCUUGCAGUUCCUUUUGAAUACUCUAGUUCCCAUUUUGUGUUAGGACCUUUACCUAGACUGCUUUUUGUUCACCUGUCGUAUGGUUCAUUUCCUUACCUCCCUUCCCAUUGAUGCCAACCAGCCUACCCUAUUUAAAAUUGUACCCCUUUCCAUAUUCCCCUUUGCCAGCUUAUCAGCUUCUAACAUACUAUGUAAUUUACUUAUUUUGUUUAUUGUCUGUUUCCCCUUCCUAAAAGGUACAUUCCAAAGGGAAUAGGGAUUUUUGUCCGUUUUGUUUAUUGAUGUAUUUCCAUUGCUUAGAACUUUGCCAGGCACGUGGUAGAUGUUCAAUGAAUAUUUGUUGAAUGAAUGAAUAAAUGAAUAGAAUAAGAGCAAAGUAGACACGUGGUCCCUGCUCUCAUGCAGUUUUUACAGUUUGGUUUCCUUUCUCCAAAUGAAUUUACCCAUAUUUACCAUUUUUUUGAUUGGCUUAAAUGUUUAUAACUCAAGAUCUUUGUGAAAUUCUAGAUAUUUAAACUUUGAGAAGCAAUAUUUGUUAAAAACAAUGCUAUCUUGAGUUAUGCUUUGAAUCAAACAAAAACUGUAAAACAUUAAAAGAGAAAAGCCCUGUGCCAGAUGAGGUGACCAAUUUUUGAAAAAUACUAUUAGGUCACUUUGGAUCUUAAUUCAUUACUGUGGAAUACCUAAUUAUAUAAUGUUCCAUUUCCUUGCAGUAAAAAGAAAAUUCUUUGGCUUAUAAAGGGGACUCACAAACCAAAUGAUUUUAGCUCCCAUAAGGGUUGUUUCUUUAUCUUUUUGUAAUCUACCGUAAAAAAUCCUUAAUUUCAUUUAAACCCAAAAUUCUAUGGUAGAAAUAAAAUAUGGAAGACUUAUGAACAAAUAUCCCAUGUUGAAGGAAAUGUAAAUAGUAGAUAUUAUAUUGAGGCCAACUGAGGAAAUAUGAUUAGACUUAGUCAAUAAAUAAAUCUGUUAACAUAAUCUAGUACGUGCCAACUUAAAUAAUGAAAGCAUUAUUGUAGGAGGAUGUUUUGCUAAAUGUCCUACAAAGACCUAUGUGUUCUGUGCAAGCCUACCAUGUGGUAGACACUUAAUAAUAAUUGGGAAAUAAGACUGAAUUUUUUUUUUAAUUUUUAAAUUUUUAUUAUUUUUUAAGACUGAAUUUUUUUCUCUUUAAAUAGUGUAUCUAAGGGGUAAGGUCUGCUAAUAUAUCUUGUCUACUAG